UUAACAAAAACAUGUAUUGUCUACUGCAAUAUAUAAAAAGAGGUUUGAUGGGAAAUAAAGUGUGUGUGUACUUGUACACCACCCUCCUGACCCCGUCUCUUUUUAAUCCCCUCACCUGCUCUCAGGACUUGUUCCUCAGUCUAACAGCAACCGACAAGUGGUGCCCAAACAGGGACCUGAGUACAUGAGCUGUUGAGAGGGACCCCGGAGAUACUUCACAUACACGCAUAACGGAUGCUGAAGAUCCUCUUUGGAUACCUGAGCACCUCGUGAGAUUCUAUGGAUCCGGACCAGAUGGUGAAUUCCCUUUCCCCCAAUAUGGAUCCGGACUUGAUGGUGAAUUCUCUCCCCCGCCAUAUGAAGAGAAUGUGAUUCAACAAAACCCGUCCUCCUGCGAACUGGCUUAUGAGCAAUUGCAGAACUCCGAGUCAGACUCUACCACCUCACAUUAAAAUAUAAGGAAGGGGGACAUGUCGGGAACCAGCUGCAAGCUGACACAGUUCUUACAGCUUAAAGCAUGGCAAAGUCCUGCUUAAUUCUUGACAGGAACCAAAAGAGUUAUUAGAGAAGAUAUGAGUCCUGGCCUGUGAGGUUGCUUGCGGUUUCUCUAACUAUAGUUUGUCUUUGGCAUGCUUCGGUAGUCACAGUCUGUUCUCACGCAUGUUUAUAUCCCAGUUCACAGAAUGUUUUGUAUUAUAAGUUCAACAAUAAGGAAAUACUGUCUGAUGAUUCUGUCUGGUGAUUUUAACAAAAACAUGUAUUGUCUACUGCAAUAUAUAAAAAAAGGUUUGAUGGGAAAUAAAGUG